CCUCAAGCACUGAGAUGCAGUGCUUUAAUAAACUGCUGUGCCACUCAGGAGAAAGUGUGAGAGAGAGAGAGAAGGGGAGAGAGGCUUUUUUCUUGUACGUUGUAGGUAUGAUGUGGCAGUGUUGUCGGGGGAGACGUGGGUCCGUGGUCAUUAUGGGAUGGAGGGGCUAGUGACCAGGGAGUGUCCAGACAGCUUUACUGAUGAGGAGUCAGACAAACACAACUCUACAGGGUGAAAUAGACGGGGCGUGAGAUGUUCCCAAAUGCCGGAAGUGUGGCCUGAGUGAAAGAGUUUGGGAACCCCUGCUCUAAUGAGUGUUGUGCCUCUGUGUGUCUGCCGUGUGGAGAUGGGAAGGACCUCUUGGCUGUGUACAGAACUCUGGGGCCUUACAUCUGUAACAUCAGCCUGGCCGUGCUGACUGACACAUGCUGGGCUUUCCUCCUGGAGGUUUCUGGGGAUACAAGGCCUGGGAGGAGAGAACCUAUCGUCCAUGGACGUUCAGUUCAGUGGGAGGGGCCAUGACACUGUGUGAUUUUUGACCUUCAUCGUCCAGGGCGACGUCUUUUUGAUUGGACACUGUUAAACCCAGGGCCGUAUGAGAUCAAUGCCUCAACAACAAAUGGAAAAUGUCAAAAAGUGGUGUACAUAGGAGCCGGACUCAAAAGUGACCGCAAAUGCUAUUGUUAUGCUUUUAUUAUAAAGGUGUAUUUUAUAUGGUGAAAAUGUUCUUCCCCAAACUUGAAACUCAGACUCUGCUUAUGUACGGGAGUUGUAGCGAUGAGACAAGAUAGUAGCUACUAAAAAAACAAUUGGAUACCACGAAAUUGGGGAGAAAAAGGGGGUAAAAUUCAACACAAAAAAACACAAAAA